rnacentral:lncRNA from 1 species
CAGAUCCCAAUCAACAUUGCGAAAAAAUGGAUGUCCCUGGAUAUCUGCAAAUCCUGUCUGGGGGUGGCAGCCUAACCGCUCCUUUGGAUCCUUAUUAAGGAAACUCUUUAGAACACCUGCUGCUUUAACAGAAAGGGAUCGGGGAAUCCGGAUCUGCUUUUCCAAAAUUACUUGAAAAAGAUAGUCUUCUGUGUUCUGAUCAGGAUUGUCAGAACUUCCGACUAUAUCAAAUGGUGACCUGCCUGCCAUCAUUUCAAACAUAAGUACACCAAGUGCCCACCAGUCUACACUGAAGCCAUAAUCUUCUCCUCGAAGAAUUUCAGGAGCAAUAUAGUUUGGAGUUCCACAGAACGUGCUUGUUGUAUCACCAGGCCUCAGCCCUUCCUUGCACAUGCCAUAAUCUGUGAGUUUAAUAUGUCCUUCAGAAUCUAGUAGCACAUUAUCUAGUUUUAAAUCUCUGUAGAUUAUUCCUCGUUCAUGUAAAUAAUUCAAUGCAAGGCUGAUUUCAGCAGAAUAAAAUCUGGCAUGCUCUUCUGGCAGUUUUCUCUGUCUCUGCAUGUGAAACAUCAGAUCUCCUCCAUUUACAUACUCUAUAACAAAGAAUAACCUGCUUUCUGUCUGGAAGCAAGAGUGCAGUCCAACAAGGAAAGGAUGAUUUGAAGCCUGUUCAAAGACAUGUUUCUCUGUCUGAACCCAAUCAAUAUCCUCAUCAUCAUUGACGAGUUCUUUCUUCACCACCUUCAUUGCAUAAAUGCGUUCUGUUUUCUUCAAUCGAACAAGCAGUACUUUAGCAUAACUGCCUCUUCCUAUAACUCGGAGCAAAUCAAAAUCCUGAAGACCCAGACUGGAAGAAGCUUUGCCGCUUUCUCUUAUGCCCAUUGCCUCCUUUUCUUCACCAACAUGGUCUAAGCUCUCAUGACUUGAUGGAUUAUAUGGAAUCACUGAUUCUACGUUAUCUGGAUGCACUGAUGAUGGGUCCAUAGGCAUUAUUGGUUCUGGUUGUAGUGUAUGACGACCACAUUCAGUAUUGACCAGUUUGUGACACUUCUUGUGAACAAGGAGUUUGCAAUUGAUGCAUUUGUAUCCCUGGCGACCCAGGCCCCAUAUUCGGUCACUGCAGAUGGCACAGUGAGCUCGCCUGUUAAAUCGUUUGGCUUGGAAAGUGUGACCAUUUGCACAAUAGAGCUUUCGCCACCGGCGGGCGCCACGGCGAUAAAUGGAUUUAUCUUCUCCUGGGCAAGGCAUGCCAGGCCGUUCUGGUACACAGGGAAACACAUGAAUUAGAAGUUCUGAAUCCUUGUUUAGUUCAUACAACCGAAAUGCCUCUUCUAACUCCAGCUGGGAAGAAACCGUACAUGGGUCUCCUUCUUCAUCAAUCCAUUUCAUGGUGAAAAGCUGCUCGUUGUCAAAGGAGCACAUGUCUCGAACUUCACUGCACAAUCCCUCAAAGGAGAUGGAAGGUUCAAAAUACGUUAUCAUGAUGUCCCCCUUAUAGUAGGCUUUCACGCGGACCUGGUGGGCGCUGUCCCCGCCGAGGCCGCCCCCGCCGCCGCCCGGAGCCGCCAUGGUGCUGCUGCUGUCCCGCUGCGUCGGCAUCCCCCCGCGGCGGGCGGCACCGCGCAGAGCGGCGGGCGGGAGGGCGGCGGGACGAGGGGGGCGGAGGCGGCCGCACAACCCCUCCGCUCCGCCGUGCCUCCAGAGCGCCGCGGGCCCGCCCUGCCGCACGGCGCCGGCCCAGCG